GAGUUUGAUUAUGGCUCAGGAUGAACGCUAGCGGCAGGCUUAAUACAUGCAAGUCGUGGGGCAGCGCAGUGUAGCAAUACAUGGGCGGCGACCGGCAAACGGGUGCGGAACACGUACACAACCUUCCUACAAGUGGGGAAUAGCCCAGAGAAAUUUGGAUUAAUACCCCGUAACAUAUAAAGAUGGCAUCAUUUUUAUAUUAUAGCUACGGCGCUUGUUGAUGGGUGUGCGGCUGAUUAGGUAGUUGGCGGGGUAAUGGCCCACCAAGCCUGCGAUCAGUAGCUGAUGUGAGAGCAUGAUCAGCCACGCGGGCACUGAGACACGGGCCCGACUCCUACGGGAGGCAGCAGUAAGGAAUAUUGGACAAUGGGCGCAAGCCUGAUCCAGCCAUGCCGCGUGAAGGAUUAAGGUCCUCUGGAUUGUAAACUUCUUUUAUAAGGGACGAAAAAAGGGAAUUCUUUCUCACUUGACGGUACCUUAUGAAUAAGCACCGGCUAACUCCGUGCCAGCAGCCGCGGUAAUACGGAGGGUGCAAGCGUUAUCCGGAUUCACUGGGUUUAAAGGGUGCGUAGGCGGGUAUUUAAGUCAGUGGUGAAAUCCUAGAGCUUAACUCUAGAACUGCCAUUGAUACUAUUUAUCUUGAAUAUUGUGGAGGUAAGCGGAAUAUGUCAUGUAGCGGUGAAAUGCUUAGAUAUGACAUAGAACACCUAUUGCGAAGGCAGCUUACUACGCAUAUAUUGACGCUGAGGCACGAAAGCGUGGGGAUCAAACAGGAUUAGAUACCCUGGUAGUCCACGCCCUAAACGAUGGAUACUCGACAUACGCGAUACACUGUGUGUGUCUGAGCGAAAGCAUUAAGUAUCCCACCUGGGAAGUACGACCGCAAGGUUGAAACUCAAAGAAUUGGCGGG
rnacentral:rRNA from 1 species